UAGAAAGCAAAAAUUCAAAGUUAAUAAAACAGUUGAAGAGGAAUGAUAUAAACACAAUUAAAUCUAGUUAUUCUAGUUAUUGCUGUGGUUAUUCUCGUUCAUGGCAAACCAAUCGAAUUAUUUUUAUAUAAACCAUCCAUCACUUGCCACAUCUAUAUGAAAGCACUUUUUGUAUGAUUUGUUCCAUGUAAAAUCUUUCAUUAAUAUAAACCAGAAGUAAUAGGUAACAAUGUGUAUUAAAUAAAAAAAUCCGGAAGCUGGAAAAAAAAUAUUAAUAAUUAUAUCCUAGAGUUUUGUAUAGAUUCAAUCACUAUCUGCUAAGAAUUAAAAAGGGGGGAGGAAAAGCUUGACAAGCUAGACUUCGAGAGGAAAUUAAUGGGAUGCACAUUUACAACUAUACAGAGGAUGCAAAGGGGAUGAAACUGCAAAAAGAAUCAUCUGCCACAUUACAUUUGCAAGAAAUCUAACAUAGAAUCAUGAGCAGGAAAAAAAAAGUUCUCCUUAGAUAUUCUUUAAUAUAGCUACUGAGCUUACUAAAACGAUUCUCUAAAAGGUAGAAAUUUAAACCAGCAUGCGUUAUUUAUGACUGGAAGUGUAUAUGGUAUAUUAUAUAUAUAUAUAUAUGUAUAUAAAUUGCAAGUUGGAGAAGAAACCCAAUCUUUAAGACUUGGUUUUCCAGAGACAGGUUCCACCUUUUCUUAUUCAUUAGCUUCUGCACUGUGUUGUUGAAAGUGCUAUAUGCAGUUAAGCAACAACAGAUCUAGGAUGGAAGUUGAAGGCUUAAGACAUGGUGUAAACUUGAGGAAAUAAAACACAGCUUUGAAAUAUAAUAAAUCGUUUACAUGAUAAUGAUUCAUAAAAACAUAAUAAGAAAAAAGGCUGGAAAAAUUAAUAACUUAUUAAGUCUAUUUAGCAUGUUGUUUAGAGCAAGACAUGUAUCUUUCAAAUAAAAUGUGCUACAAUUCUUACAAGAAAGAUAAUGCACAAUAGCAAAACAUCAUACAAGGAAAAAUAAAUAAAUAAACUAAUUGGUUCAGCAUGCUAUGCCAUAACUACAAAAAUUCAACAAAUAUCAUCGAUUUGAUGGCACAUGUUUGAGGUAUACAUGCUUGCCCAGUUAAGGCACCUUACCUACACUUUAAGAAAUGUUGUAGUAUUGACACUUUAUGCCUUGCAUCAACAGCAUGGUGUAAGGCACAGUUUUAACAAAGAUGCUUUUGUGUAGAGCUAACACAAAGAUCACUCAAUAACAGCUCAUAUAUAAUUCUUUUUUAUUAUUAUUAUUAUUUACACGAACAAGCAAAAGAUGAGUAGGAAAAAUGAAGAUCACAGCAUAACAAGCUUGUUACCUGAGAUGCAUUAAAUCCCAUCCAAAUCUAUAAUAACCUCCAAAUAAAGCAUUACAAGCACAUAUAACAACAUGAUGAGGCAAGCAUGUAUUUUCCUUUUUCCAAAGAAACAUAUAAAAUGACGGAUUUUGUUAAGACUCUUUCCCCCACCCCACUUUCUUUACCCAAGCAGCUGGCGAUCACAAAAUUUAAGAAAAAAUUCCUAAUGAUACCAAACAUUUUCAAUCUUUUUAAGCUUUACAAAUUACUUAGACAUGAGACACGUUCAUUUUCUAGUAUAAAAAAACCCGUGUAAAUACCAUCUCCACGCCAUCAAUUUACUACAAACUAACUUCAAUCAACUCAUGCCAUAGCCGUAUUAAACUUCAAUUACUCAUAACAUCAAGUUAAUUCAAUGAGUCAUCGCUAAAUCUUGCAACAGGAUGCAUAACAAAUGAGCAUCAGUAAGCAACCUACGUACUGCAUAGCAUACAUAGAUUAGAUUACGAAUUCAGAAAAACCCAGUUAUCAUUACAUGCAAUUCACCAGUAUAAAACAAACCCAUUAAGCAUAACCUCAAAUAUAACCCAAUAUCAACAUGAUUCAAGCUAAAAAAAAGGAAACAAACCCAUUAAGCAUGACCUAAAAUAUAAUCCAAUGUUAACAUGAUUCAAGCUAAAAAAAGGAACUCUCCCUGGCAUCAAAAUUUCAAUAAUCUAACAAAAACCCGUUAAUCUAUAAGACUGAUGAUAAAAAAAAA